UACAGAGGUCUCAAGCGUUGCUCGGAAUCACUGGGCGUAAAGGGCGCGUAGGCGGCCUGAUCAGUCGGGGGUGAAAGCCUGUGGCUCAACCACAGAAUGGCCUCGAUACUGUCGGGCUUGAGACCGGAAGAGGUAAGUGGAACUGCGAGUGUAGAGGUGAAAUUCGUAGAUAUUCGCAAGAACACCAGUGGCGAAGGCGGCUUACUGGUCCGGAUCUGACGCUGAGGCGCGAAAGCGUGGGGAGCAAACAGG
rnacentral:rRNA from 1 species